rnacentral:rRNA from 1 species
UACGGAGGGUGCAAGCGUUGUUCGGAAUCAUUGGGCGUAAAGCGCGUGUAGGCGGCUUGGCAAGUCGGUUGUGAAAGCCCGGGGCCCAACCCCGGAAUUGCAUCCGAAACUGCCUGGCUGGAGUCCCGGAGAGGAAGGCAGAAUUCCCGGUGUAGGGGUGAAAUCCGUAGAUAUCGGGAGGAAUACCAGCGGCGAAGGCGGCCUUCUGGACGGUGACUGACGCUGAGACGCGAAAGCGUGGGGAGCAAACAGGG